CACAAUGAUACCGAUGGCCUAAAUCAAAGCUACAUGGGAGGGUUUGGCUUAUGCCAUUUUCAUCUUAUGGGCAGACAACAGAAUGCGGGGGUUCCAAACAAUCAUCUCAUGGAUCAAAACUGGGACCAAAUAUCAGGACAACUCAUCCGCAGUUGGUGGACGGUUGGAGACUCACAUCGAAUAUCACCUUUAGAUAGAGGCAAAUAGCACCGCUGACUGGGUGGCUACUUAUGCGGCUUACCAUAGUGGCACUGUUUUAUGGGAGGCUACUUCAAUUUUACCUGGAUGCCUCAGGGACAUUGUAGGGGCUUAUGUGAGGGGCUGUGUAUAUACAAGGGCUUUAUAAAGUAGGCAUUACACCCCAAAAAAAAUGAUAAUUCUAUAUUAUAGAAUUUUCUGCUUUAAACACCAUUUGAAUAAAUAAAUACAUAAUAAGACAAACUGAUGAUGACACCCACCGGUGCUUUUUUUUCAAUCUCACGUGCAUCCGAGGAUCACACAACGUGCCAAAAGAUGAGAUAUUACACAGAUAAUGGAUGUGAAAUCAUCUUCUAACAUAGAUGCUACAAUGAAAUUCAAUCUCCUAAUGCCUUGGAACUUGCAGCCAAUAAAAUGAUUACGAUUUAUAUUUAAUUUCAUCAUCGUAAUAGCAUGUAUCAAUAUUUCAUUUAUGCAUUAAUUACCAAUUCUGCUUAUAUAAUUGACAUAGCAUCAUUUGCUCAAAUUUAUUUUUGCAUGACCUUAUUUUAUGCCAUAACAUCCCCCUUGGCACAGACCAAAUCUGCAGGAGACUGAAACAGCGGAAAGAUGCCAACCAGGUUAGUUAAAGAGGUAAUUGGCUUGGAGGGGAUUUGAACUCAAUUACCAGCAAACUUGGCUUUGGUACCAUGUUAGCAACCAACACACCCCAAAAACUGAAGCGGCUGUAGGACGACCCAAAAAUGUGCAUCAGGCUUAACAUAUUUCAGAUUAACAAGCAUCAAGCAACUUCACUCAAUCCAAGUCAUGCUCCGGCUCCUGAACCCACUUUCUGGUGCUUUUCCAAGCAACAAUUUACUCAAGUACCUUCAACUGCUUUUACAGUUUUUAUCCCAUCGAUCCAAGUCCCAUUGCAAUAUUUGUUUUAUUGGUUUUGAAUCUCUGCAUGAUGCAUUGUGAUGCAACAGCCAAAUGAAUGGUAUCUUUUUUUCUUUUUUCUUUUUUUUUGCUAUAACAGGCACUUUAUACAACUCUAGUAUGAAUACAUCCAAAAAAGUCAAAAAAUAAAAUGUCUCGGAAUGCUCCCGGACCAGAGAACAAUAUCUUUUUUAUUGUCUCAGAAUUUCCAAUAUUCUUGAUGCUCUCGCAUCUUAAUUUUUGGAGAAGUUGACCUCCCCACUCCCAUACCCUCUUCAAACUUGGGAAAGAAGAAGUUCAUGCUGUGAGAUCUUUGUUACAUGGUUCCCAUGAACCUUGCUUUUGUAUCAAAAGUGCAAUCCAUUAGUCAAUGUGCCUACUUAAAUUAUAUUGUUGGCUGUAACACCCUGAACCAAGAUAGCCAAUGCCUAAGCUGAGUUACUAAACCUCGGGGGACCUAAGAAAUCUAAUCUUUCUUUAACAUGCAUUGCACGACAUUUCAUUGCAUAACAUGACAUGAACAUACAUUAAACAUUUAAUUAGACUAAUGAUAAUGAGGUAUGGUCCACAUAUGAUUGUGAUUGAAGAAUGAGAUGAAAUGUGAGUAGUAUUAGUAGAAAUGAAAGUGAAUUAGUGAUUAGUAUAUGAGCAUAAUACAAAGUGGAUUAAAGGAAAGACAUUACAAGGUAUGCACAGCAAAAUGUUGGUGAGAAUUCAUGUGGCCUAGUGUUGGGAUGUCAUGCCAUAACCAAGAAGUGGAGUGCAGGGAAUUCACAUGAAAGUGCAUGUGUGCAUGAGUGACAAUUUUGCAAAAUUGUGUUAGUAGGAAGGGCAAAAUGGUCAAGGCACCAAAGUUGCCACAUGUCCACACCUUUCCUCACCUCUUCCUUUCUAUUUUUGGUGUCUUCUCCUCCUUGUGCCAUGCAGCAGCUUGCAGCCACCCAUCACCCAAAACAGCCCCCCACCUUCAUUCAUUCCUUCUUCUCCUUUCAUUUGUUUCAUUCUUACACUUAGAAUAAAAGAGAGAAAGAAAGAGAGACUAAGACUAAGAGAGAAAUCAGAAAGAAAGAGAAUUUCAAGUCCUAAACUAAGAGAACAAAGCUUAGAACACUUGGUUAAUACAAUUGAAGUGAAGUUGGAAGAUUGGAGGAGAGUACUGCCGGUCUUUGGAGAAGGCAGCAUACUAUUUUGUGGUUGUUCUUGCAUUUUCGGCAAAAGGGGCUGCCUAUGGGGAUGAUCAAUCUAUAGUGUGAGCCACCCGUGGUAGUACUACAAGAAUCAAAAGCCCAGUGGGGAAGCACCAAUGCUACGCGUCGAGGCUGCCCAUGGGAGUGUGCUCUAUGGUGUGAACCGCCCGUAGCCAAAAUAGUGCCCAAUGGAUCAGAUAAUCAGAGAAGCGAAGUCUACGUGCACAUAUGACCAGCAAAGAAGAGCCAGAAACCCUUUUUGCUUCCUUGACUAGCUCGAUAAGAAAUAAUUUUAGCUAGUGCUUGGUAUAAGCAGGCUCAACGGGUGUACGUGGUGUUUGUUUUCCAGAGAGAUUUGAGGUGUACUAGAGCGUGCUAGUGAAUCGCACUACAUCAUCAACAUUCAGCACUAGUUGAGGUUGGGCCACUUUAGCUUAGAAAGGUGCUUUUGGAAUUGUCUAUAUGCAUAGAGUAUUGUGUGUACAUUGUGAAACUUAAUGUAUAGUACUUUGAAGUUGAAUAUAAGAUGUUUUGAAUGAUAU